rnacentral:rRNA from 1 species
AUUGAACGCUGGCGGCGUGCUUAACACAUGCAAGUCGAACGGUGAAGCAGGAGCUUGCUCCUGUGGAUCAGUGGCGAACGGGUGAGUAACACGUGAGCAAUCUGCCCUGGACUCUGGGAUAAGCGUUGGAAACGACGUCUAAUACCGGAUACGAGGCGUGGGGGCAUCCCCAACGCCUGGAAAGAACUUCGGUCCAGGAUGAGCUCGCGGCCUACCAGGUAGUUGGUGAGGUAACGGCUCACCAAGCCUACGACGGGUAGCCGGCCUGAGAGGGGGACCGGCCACACGGGGACUGAGACACGGCCCAGACUCCUACGGGAGGCAGCAGUGGGGAAUAUUGCACAAUGGGCGCAAGCCUGAUGCAGCAACGCCGCGUGAGGGACGACGGCCUUCGGGUUGUAAACCUCUUUUAGCAGGGAAGAAGCGAAAGUGACGGUACCUGCAGAAAAAGCACCGGCUAACUACGUGCCAGCCGCCGCGGUAAUAC